rnacentral:rRNA from 1 species
GACGAACGCUGGCGGCGUGCCUAAUACAUGCAAGUCGAACGAACCGCGACUAGGUGCUUGCACUUGGUCAAGGUGAGUGGCGAACGGGUGAGUAACACGUGGGUAACCUACCUCAUAGUGGGGGAUAACAGUCGGAAACGACUGCUAAUACCGCAUAGGACAUGGGAUCACAUGAUUCUGUGAGGAAAGGUGGCGCAAGCUAUCGCUAAGAGAUGGACCCGCGGUGCAUUAGCUAGUUGGUAGGGUAACGGCCUACCAAGGCGAUGAUGCAUAGCCGACCUGAGAGGGUGAUCGGCCACAUUGGGACUGAGACACGGCCCAAACUCCUACGGGAGGCAGCAGUAGGGAAUCUUCCGCAAUAGACGCAAGUCUGACGGAGCAACGCCGCGUGAGUGAAGAAGGUCUUCGGAUCGUAAAGCUCUGUUGUUAGAGAAGAACAGCGCAUAGAGUAACUGUUAUGCGUGUGACGGUAUCUAACCAGAAAGCCACGGCUAACUACGUG